GGACUUUCUGUAGUUUUAUGGUCAACCAAUUGCCCACCGCCGAUUCUACAUUGACUUUAAGUAAAAUGAUUAAAUUUGGUUAUACUUUGCAUGACAAUUUUAUUACAUAAUAAUACCCAUUUCUUCCAAAGAUUAUUUACUUGAUCGACAUCCUGGUUUUUUCGGCUGACGAAAACUUCUUGAAAGCAAAGCAACAAACAAUUAGCAUGCAGACACAAACGGGCCUGCCGUGGCCUACUCCGCCUCCUCCAGCGACGCCUCCACCCGAAGCAGCACGAAGCCGACCGCAACGCCGACCAGCACGAGGCCAUUCAUUAUGGCCGCAAUCUUAAAUAUCUCCUCCGUGGCAUUGCAGGUGGAGGACAGCGCUCCGCCGCCCUGACUCCUCUUGCGCGGCGGCGAUCUCAGGGAGCUGACAACCAUGGCGAAGCACCGCGCGGUGCAUGUCGGGAACGGAGAGGUGUGUCUUAAGAGGAGAGUGGCAAAGGAUAAGGUGAGGGAGAGGAUGGAGGCUGCCAUAGAGCCCAUAUCCUCUUCUGGUGCAGGUGAGGGAAAAUUUGAAGUCUAGAAUAUAUAAUAAGUUGAAAUAUAGGACAGAUUAGCAAGUUAAUUUGAGAUCCUAAUUGAGUUCAGAUGUGCUUUCUAACUAAAACUGGAGUUGUAAAUCGCAUGUAAGUGAUAAAUAUUAUAAAUAAUAAAUAUAUAAUAGUCAGCAUAAAGUUAUGUAAGACAUCAUGAACAUGAAUCUUCCUCAUCUGUAUAAACAAUGCUUGCUUAAUCAUCUGUAUAAAACACCUAUCAACCACUUUGGUCAAUCUGUCCUCCUUUGUUUGAAUCACCAUGGAAACCCCCCAAGAAGCUAAGAAACUCCCAAGAAGCUGUCUUCCACCAACCAGUGAAGAUCAAAACAGAUGCAAAGUUUAUUGACAUUCACAACAUAUAUAUUCAUGUGUGUAUAUAUUAUGGUUUUACAUUGGACUAUUACUUACUAUCCUGUUCAUACACAACAAAAUAUUCUGUGCACUGGAGGAAAGAAAAGCACAAAUAUACUGAUUCUAGACUUGGUUACUAGGUAAUCAUCCAAUCUUUUUGAAUGAAAAAAAAGAUACUUUGCUGCAGUAAAGAUUUAUUUCCUCUUUGUCUCCUUUUUCUUGUUGAAUAAAUUCAGCCAUGGAUACUUAACAGAGUUACAAGACAUGUGUGCUAAACUUAUCAUAUUCUUUGACAAGGAAUUCAACUUCUCUGGAUCCAGUCUUUGUGGUGGCACAAUUUGACCUGCUACCAACAGAGUUGGUGUUGCCAACAUAAGAUCAUGGAAGCUGCAUCUUUGGUGGUCUUUCUCACUUUGUUCUCUUGUCAAUGGUUUCUCCUUCAUUAAGCAUUGUUCUAUGAGCCAAAACUGCAAGCAACACAGAUCUUUUGGGUUGUCUUUUAAAUACACAUACAUAUGUAAAGCUUGCCAUCAAUUCAAAGCUUACCUAAUGUUCUAAUGUUGCAUCUGCCUAGUUCAUUGACAAACCAUUUGGGCACCAAAAUGUCUUCCUGAAUGCUUUUGUUUAAAGUGGCAACAUCAUUUACUG
rnacentral:lncRNA from 1 species